AAUCGCAACCCAAAAUUUUAUAAAGUUUGUUUGCGUUAAAGCUCGUAGUUGAACCUUGGGCCUGGCUGGCCGGUCCGCCUCACCGCGAGUACUGGUCCGGCUGGGCCUUUCCUUCUGGGGACCUCAUGGCCUUCACUGGCUGUGGGGGGAACCAGGACUUUUACUGUGAAAAAAUUAGAGUGUUCAAAGCAGGCCUUUGCUCGAAUACAUUAGCAUGGAAUAAUAGAAUAGGACGUGCGGUUCUAUUUUGUUGGUUUCUAGGACCGCCGUAAUGAUUAAUAGGGAUAGUCGGGGGCGUCAGUAUUCAGCUGUCAGAGGUGAAAUUCUUGGAUUUGCUGAAGACUAACUACUGCGAAAGCAUUCGCCAAGGAUGUUUUCAUUAAUCAGGGAACGAAAGUUAGGGGAUCGAAGACGAUCAGAUACCGUCCUAGUCUUAACCAUAAACUAUGCCCGACUAGGGAUCGGACGGGAUUCUAUGAUGACCCGUCCGGCACCUUACGAGAAAUCAAAGUUUUUGGGUUCUGGGGGGAGUAUGGUCCGCCAGGCUGAAACUUAAAGAAAUUGACGGAAGGGCACCACAAGGCCUGGAGCCUGCCUGCUUAAUUUGACUCACACGGGGAAACUCCCCCGGGUCCAGACAAAAUAAGGAUUGACAGAAUUGAGAAGCUCCUUUUCUUUGAACCCUUUUGGAUGGGUGGGUGCCAUGGGCCCGUUCUUCGUUGGGGGGAG
rnacentral:rRNA from 1 species